CCAAAAUAUAUUUCUCUUCUUGUUGCACGUGCAUGGCGUUCUUGUGCACAUUGUCUAUCCUGCUCACAGUGGGUGCCCAAUCAGGAUUGUUGACAUAAUUCCAUGCUGCAGGCAUGUCUGUUAUUAGAUGAUAAAGAAAUAAAUAAAUAAAUAGUUUGGGUGAAUGUGCAGGCUUUAAACAAGAAACAUUGAGAAAUAUAUUUUGGCAAAUAAUAAAAUGUCCUAAUUUUGUCCAACUAACAGCUGACAAUUAUCCCAUUCCUUAGCUUGCAUCUGAGGAAAAUUUAUUUCAAAACGCAUUGAUAGUUUACGAUUAUUUAAAUGGUAAAUGUAGCUUCAGAAGCGUUUUCAUUUUGCAUGUUAAAACCCACCUGAGAACCAUGGGCGAUUUUGAAAUUUUACUGACGGAUUUUUCACUUUUAAAACUUUUUAUAUAACAAAUGAAUAAAGAUAAAAAAGUCAAUAAUGCCUUACUUUUGAUGAAAUGCAGCGAGCAAACGCGAUAAUUCCCGAUAUUUUGGAUCUUUAAAUCUCCACGACAAAUGUCCGCUGAUCACUUCCGCUGGAUUUGCACCUUCAGCUCCCUCUUGAAUUUACCUUAGUUUCUAUCUUUUUUUUGGACUGUAAAUUUAGGUAGCUGUGCCUCACGGUCACUCCGACUGGCACAGUAAAUUGCAGCUCAAAAACUGGCCGUUUUCGAUGUUUUUAAUGGGUGUGAAAGUGCGUGUUUUCCCAUUCACUAACAUGUACCGGAAGUAUAGCAUGUACUCCACUUCAAAUUUUUCGGUCACGUGGGUGCGGAUCUACGCUCCAGUGACCUUUCAUGAAAUCACCCUAUAGAGAGAAGGAAUAGGCGACAUUUCGGGUCGAGACCCUUCAUCAGAGGGAUAGUCAGGCUGGUCGGAGAACUGGGAAGGGGGAGAGAUGGACUCAUGGAGAAAGAAGAAAAGCAAGGGUUACUUGAAGUUAAAGAAGUCAAUGUUCAUACCGCUCUGGUGUAUGCUGCCCAAGUGAAAUAUGAGGUGCUGUUCCUACAAUUUGUCUGUGGCCUCACUGACAAUGGAGGAGACCCAGGACAAAGACAACCAGUUUGCAAAUGGUUGGUUACACGACACUAGUGUAUACAUCCCAAAGAAUUCUCCAGAUUUACAAGUGGUGUGUGGAAAAGUUCUGCACUCACAAGCUGUAGGCGUGACAUCUAAGCCAUUGAUGCCGUGGGUUAUUGUGGCAAAUAGCCAGAUAUGCAGUGCCCACUAUGAUUGCAAGGCAGGGCUUGGAGAAGUUUGUACCCACAUUGCGACGCUUCUCUUUGGUAUUGAUGCUGGAGUACGGAUUCGUGAGAAGAAAACAGUCGUCCAGGUCAAGGCAUAUUGGAUGGAGCCAACAAGAAAGCAGGCUAAAGUCGCGCCUGUCAGCAAAGUUGACCUCUUCAGCAGCAAAAAAGAAAAGAUAGCUUGAUGCUGCCAUAGAUGGGACUGAGCUGAAAUAGCAACAAACUAGAGAUAAAGCUCCAUCAUUGUCAUCUGCUGCAUCUUGAGCAUCGGAGGUGCUGCAGGACAAAUCACUGUGGACUUUUGUUAGGCCUGUCCCUGAUAACAACAAAAUCGGCCAUACUCAGCUCUGUUGACCCUUAUGCAGCAAGAUUUGUUCCUGCUGCGACUGUUGCAGCAUUUCCACCGAUUCUUACAGACCUAAUGGGCAAAGGCACAUUCACCUUGACAUUUGCUGAUCUUCUAAAGAGAUGUGAAGAUGUUGAUUGUUCUGUUACAGAGGAGGGGGGCAAAGAAUGUGGAGGCGCACACUCGUCAGCAAGCAAAAUCAGAUCUCUGGUUUCGAUAGCGGGCAGGACGCAUAACAGCAUCAAAAAUGAAAAGUUUUUGCACAACAAAUGCAGGUUCUCCUGCAAUUAGUGUUAUAAAAUCGGUGUGUUACCCCGAUCUGUGCAGAUUUAGCAAUGAGGCAACAAGAUGGGGCUGUGAUUAAGAAGAGCAUGCAAGGCAAGCCAAGGCGGCUUAUAUGCGCACUGAACACUCAGGUUUCAUGAUGAAAUACUCAGGACUGAUCAUAAACCCCAAGUACCCUCAUUUGGGUGCAACACUGGACGGACUGGUUCAGUGUGCUGAGCAAUGCUGCGGGGAUGACCGUCUUGGUGUCUGUGAAAUAAAAUGUCCAUUCAGUAAGAAGGACAUGUCUUUAAUGUCCGCUGCAGAGGACAAACAGUUUUACCUUCAGAAUUUGAAUGGUGAGCUUCAUCUGUCCAAAUAGCAUGCUUACUACUACCAGGUGCUGGCCCAAAUUUGUGUCUCGUAGAGAUCAUUUUGUGGUUUGGACCAGUGAUGACGUCCGUCCCCAGAUAGAGCGUAUAGUGGGUUAUCAUGCUUUUUGGACAGAUGUUGUAGCUGCUGCCACUCAGUUCUUUAAUUUCGACGUAUUGCCGGAGCUUGUUGGCAAGCAUUUUACCAGUCCCCCCAUAAAUAUGUUGAAGAAUGUCGUGCAGACCAAUGACCAGGAAGAACAAAAAUGGUGCUACUGUUAGGAGGGGGAAAGCGGGAAAAUGAUCAUGUGCGAUAACCCAAAGUGUCCUAUUUCGUGGUAUCAUUUUGAAUGCCUGAAAUUGCCAGAUAAUUAUGAAACACCAAAAAAAUGGUUUUGCCCAGAUUGUAGGCGCCUCCCAAAAUCUAAAAGAAAAGCCCCCAAAAAGAAAUGAAUGGCAAGUGUUUUGCUGAACAUGUUUCUGUUAAAUACAAAGUCUAUCAUUUGUAUACCACGUUUCCCUUGCACUGCAUAAAGCCACGUAAUAGGCUAUUUUGUGUUCACUUUAAAAAACACCAGUCACUUUUUGAAACUGUUCUAUUUAAGUUUAAUGUUAAAGAUUUUGAAGUGCACUUUAGCUACUGUGUUUGUUAUUUGAUGGUUUGGCAAUUACUUGCAAUUUCAUCCAUAAUAAAUGCUGAUGAGCCAAGUA